ACAUUUUAAAACUCUACCUAACCGCCGAGUUGUGAAGACGAAAUCAUAUCUGCUGUAGUUUGACCUAAAUUCGCGGUAACACAGCAACGUCUCCCACAGGCCAAGAGCUCAAGAUCAAUUCAAUUCUCGUUAAAACUGCUUGGUUGUUGGAGGAAUAAAAUGCCUAUUGUGACAGUUGAAACCAAUUUAUCAUAUGCUCAGUUACCAGAUGAUUUUGGCCCAAAACUGUCCAGAUUUACCAGCGAGACGCUGAACAAACCAGAAGAACGGAUUACCAUCAGCCUAGUAACCGAUCGCCGAAUGUGGCGCAAUGGAAGUGAUUUGCCAAUGAUGCAAAUUUACGUUUCAGCCAUUGGUGCAGUUUCAACUGCCGAACAGAAUACCGUCCACGCGCAAAAAUUUACCGAUUUCAUGAAGUCACAAACAGGACUCCCGACGGAAAGAGUUUUCCUUUUAUUUACUCCUUUGGAAGCUUGGCAAAUAGGGAAAGAUGGAAUGGUGGCAUGUUAAACUGAUGUCCCUUGUUAAGGAACAAGGUGAUCAGGACAUCUGCAGGAAUCAGAAUGUAGGUCUUCAUUCAUUAAUAAGGGUUUUCAAUUCA